rnacentral:lncRNA from 1 species
CUAGAACUUCAGGAAGGCUCUGAACAGCUGGUUUUCAAUGCAACGACACCCGACAACAGCAGCUGACUGGACGAAAAGUCGUCACCUGCUUCAAGGAUCAGUUCCCUGGGAGCUCCUGUACCUAUUCAGGAGAGAUUGAGUGAUGUGGACGUGCUCCUUCAACAUUGGCCCCUGCAGAGUGUGGAAUUAAUCACCUCUUGUUUCUAUAUGGAAAAGCAAUAAACAUCAUGCCAAAAAAGCACAGUUUGAAAUCAGAAUUAGGACUCUGUGGGUGAAAGCAA